GGAGCUGUGCCUGAAGUAAAGGGCCACUUUGAUAGAGUGAAUAAUGAGGAUUAAGUCCCUCCUGCUCCU